AACGGGUGAGUAACACGUGAGUAACCUGCCCUUAACUCUGGGAUAAGCCUGGGAAACUGGGUCUAAUACCGGAUAGGAGCGCCUACCGCAUGGUGGGUGUUGGAAAGAUUUAUCGGUUUUGGAUGGACUCGCGGCCUAUCAGCUUGUUGGUGAGGUAAUGGCUCACCAAGGCGACGACGGGUAGCCGGCCUGAGAGGGUGACCGGCCACACUGGGACUGAGACACGGCCCAGACUCCUACGGGAGGCAGCAGUGGGGAAUAUUGCACAAUGGGCGCAAGCCUGAUGCAGCGACGCCGCGUGAGGGAUGACGGCCUUCGGGUUGUAAACCUCUUUCAGUAGGGAAGAAGCGAAAGUGACGGUACCUGCAGAAGAAGCACCGGCUAACUACGUGCCAGCAGCCGCGGUAAUACGUAGGGUGCGAGCGUUAUCCGGAAUUAUUGGGCGUAAAGAGCUCGUAGGCGGUUUGUCGCGUCUGUCGUGAAAGUCCGGGGCUUAACCCCGGAUCUGCGGUGGGUACGGGCAGACUAGAGUGCAGUAGGGGAGACUGGAAUUCCUGGUGUAGCGGUGGAAUGCGCAGAUAUCAGGAGGAACACCGAUGGCGAAGGCAGGUCUCUGGGCUGUAACUGACGCUGAGGAGCGAAAGCAUGGGGAGCGAACAGGAUUAGAUACCCUGGUAGUCCAUGCCGUAAACGUUGGGCACUAGGUGUGGGGACCAUUCCACGGUUUCCGCGCCGCAGCUAACGCAUUAAGUGCCCCGCCUGGGGAGUACGGCCGCAAGGCUAAAACUCAAAGGAAUUGACGGGGGCCCGCACAAGCGGCGGAGCAUGCGGAUUAAUUCGAUGCAACGCGAAGAACCUUACCAAGGCUUGACAUGUUCUCGAUCGCCGUAGAGAUACGGUUUCCCCUUUGGGGCGGGUUCACAGGUGGUGCAUGGUUGUCGUCAGCUCGUGUCGUGAGAUGUUGGGUUAAGUCCCGCAACGAGCGCAACCCUCGUUCCAUGUUGCCAGCACGUCGUGGUGGGGACUCAUGGGAGACUGCCGGGGUCAACUCGGAGGAAGGUGAGGACGACGUCAAAUCAUCAUGCCCCUUAUGUCUUGGGCUUCACGCAUGCUACAAUGGCCGGUACAAUGGGUUGCGAUACUGUGAGGUGGAGCUAAUCCCAAAAAGCCGGUCUCAGUUUAG
rnacentral:rRNA from 1 species